AAGUCUGCUGUUAAAAAGUGGAGCUUAACUCCAUCAUGGCAGUGGAAACUGAUGGGCUUGAGUGUGGUAGGGGCAGAGGGAAUUCCCGGUGUAGCGGUGAAAUGCGUAGAUAUCGGGAAGAACACCAGUGGCGAAGGCGCUCUGCUGGGCCAUCACUGACGCUCAUGGACGAAAGCCAGGGGAGCGAAAGGGAUUAGAUACCCCUGUAGUCCUGGCCGUAAACGAUGAACACUAGGUGUCGGGGGAAUCGACCCCCUCGGUGUCGUAGCCAACGCGUUAAGUGUUCCGCCUGGGGAGUACGCACGCAAGUGUGAAACUCAAAUGAAUUGACGG
rnacentral:rRNA from 1 species